rnacentral:misc_RNA from 1 species
AAAGUCGUAACAAGGUAACCGUAGGUGAACCUGCGGUUGGAUCAUUACUAUAAAUAUCCCAUGGCCCGACGGCAUAUGUUAAACAGUGAGACUUUGUCCCAUUAACGUUGUCGUAGGGAACCUGGUAACAUUAUGUGAACUGUAUUGUCUCUGGCGGGGGGGGUGGAGUAUAAGUCAUUUACUCUAUCUGUCAGCUUGACGCUAAUAUUUUGUCAAGCCGUGGACAUCCCGUCAAACUCUUGUAAAACCUAUUGUCUGUUUUUUAUGUCUGACAUUUUUUGUAUGAAAUAUACAAACAACUUUUGGCAACGGAUCUCUUGGCUCUC